AGUCGAGCGGACUUCUGGGAGCUUGCUCCUUAAAGUUAGCGGCGAACGGGUGAGUAACACGUGGGCAACCUGCCCUGUAGACCGGGAUAACAUCGAGAAAUCGGUGCUAAUACCGGAUAAUCAUUGGAGCUGCAUAGUUCUAAUGUAAAAGAUGGCUCCGGCUAUCACUACGGGAUGGGCCCGCGACGCAUUAGCUAGUUGGUAAGGUAACGGCUUACCAAGGCGACGAUGCGUAGCCGACCUGAGAGGGUGAUCGGCCACACUGGGACUGAAACACGGCCCAGACUCCUACGGGAGGCAGCAGUAGGGAAUCUUCCGCAAUGGACGAAAGUCUGACGGAGCAACGCCGCGUGAGUGAUGAAGGGUUUCGGCUCGUAAAGCUCUGUUGUUAGGGAAGAACAAGUGCCGUUCAAAUAGGGCGGCACCUUGACGGUACCUAACCAGAAAGCCACGGCUAACUACGUGCCAGCAGCCGCGGUAAUACGUAGGUGGCAAGCGUUGUCCGGAAUUAUUGGGCGUAAAGCGCGCGCAGGCGGUCUUUUAAGUCUGAUGUGAAAUCUCGGGGCUCA
rnacentral:rRNA from 1 species